UUUUGGAGGGGAACUGAAUGUGC
rnacentral:piRNA from 1 species